GACGAACGCUGGCGGCGUGCUUAACACAUGCAAGUCGAGCGGUAAGGCCCUUUCGGGGGUACGAUGAGCGGCGAACGGGUGAGUAACACGUGGGUGACCUGCCCUCAGCUCUGGGAUAAGCCUGGGAAACCGGGGUCUAAUACUGGAUAUGACUCCAUGACGCAUGUUGUGGGGUGGAAAGCCUUGUGCGGCUGAGGAUGGCCCGCGGCCUAUCAGCUUGUUGGUGGGGUGAUGGCCUACCAAGGCGACGACGGGUAGCCGGCCUGAGAGGGCGACCGGCCACACUGGGACUGAGACACGGCCCAGACUCCUACGGGAGGGCAGCAGUGGGGAAGUCUUGCGCAAUGGGCGAAAGCCUGACGCAGCGACGCCGCGUGAGGGAUGACGGCCUCGGUGUAAC
rnacentral:rRNA from 1 species